rfam:Myotis brandtii contig168208, whole genome shotgun sequence.
GGUGAUUCUUGGGUGAUGCACCCCCAGAAUCAGGCUCUCUCAUCUCUGGUUCCAGGGUGUGUCACCCAAGAACUGCC